UUCGUAGGCAGCAAGCGUUGUUCGGAGUUACUGGGCGUAAAGAGUGCGUAGGUGGUGCCCUAAGUCUGUUGUGAAAUCUCCCGGCUUAACUGGGAGGGUGCGGUGGAAACUGGGGUGCUUGAGUGUGGGAGAGGUAAGCGGAAUUCCUGGUGUAGCGGUGAAAUGCGUAGAUAUCAGGAGGAACACCGGUGGUGUAGACGGCUUACUGGACCACGACUGACACUGAGGCACGAAAGCGUGGGUAGCAAACAGG
rnacentral:rRNA from 1 species